GCUAAACACUAGUAAUCACUUCUAUUCUGAAUAUAUUUGAAUGUGUCGUGUAAAUCUUUUUAAAGCUGUUUGAACUAAACGUGCUGCAGAUGGAAUCUCUUCGACGCUGACAGGACCUUCCUUCCCCCUUCCUCCCCCUCCACCUCCCCUGCCCCCAGUAGCCUCUCAGAGAGGGUCACGGUCUUACAGAUGUGGCGGGCUAAGCAGAUGUUGGGAGCCGGACACAAAUACUCCCAGAAGUCCUUUAACUUCCUGCUGCUGUCUUCAGCCGGAAGCAGAAGCUGCUGGAGACUAAAGACGGACCCACGGACCCGUUGAUGGACUGAUCCAUUGAUCCAUUGAUCGAUCGAUUGAUUGAUGUGUAGAUCAGACAGCGUGUCUACCGCAGACUCAGAGCUUGUUUCAAUGUUGAAUAUCAGAUGGUUACUUGUGAUUUCAUGAACUGAAAAUUUGUCUGAGAACAUAAAAUGAGUCUUUUAUUUUGUGAAUUUGUUCAACAAAUUAUCCCCCAAAAAAGACCAUGUGGGCGGAGGAGCUGAACCGGUUUAUUUUGUGAAUCUGGGGACUCCGACAUUGACAUUUGGCGUCAGUUCUUCUUCUUCUCUCUGUUCACCGAUUCCAAAUAACAUUUGUUCUGUGCUGCAAAAAAUGGCAAACUAAUCCCCCCCUUGCUGAAAUAACCAAAAUCCUCCCCAGACGAAAAAGACUCUCGCCUACGACGUCACCCCCCAUCGCCUCGUCCCAUUGGCUCCGCACGGAUGAUCCAGCCCUGAGUCUUUGGAGGACUCGUUCCACAGAGGCAAAUCCUCUUAUGUAACCCCCCCCCCCCCCCAUGGCUCCUCUCCAUCCAUCAUAUGUAUUGCACAAUUAUUCAACCCCCCCUGUCUCCAUAUUCCAUGUUUGUGGAUUAUUCGGUGACCGCCGCUGAGUAUUAGGAGUGUGUUUUAUGUAUUUGUCUUUGGCCUGUGUGGUUGUUUUGUCCGUAGAGGGGGGGGGCCGGGGGGGUUACGUAAGCUUCAAGUUGUCAACGGGCCAGGAUCUCGCCAUGUUCAUGCGUGACCCGGCGGCUCAGCCGAUGCCUACACGGCUGUCAGGGCCGGGGGGGCCGGGGGGGCCGGGGGGGCACGCUAAGGAGAACAAAACAGAACCUCCAUCAGUCCGUCCGUGACGUCAGACGUAAUCCCACAGAACGCCAAACUCCUCCCACUUGUUAAAAAAAAGAGACUUUUAGGCUUCGGAGUUUGAUCCGCUCACGACUUCAGUUCACUCAAACACACAAUUUAAACGCUGUGCGUAAAAGAUGUCAAAUACAAGUACGUUGUGGUGGAAACGAUAAGUGAGACAAAAAAAGAUUAAACAUACUGAGCUUCUUCUUCAAGUGUUGGUUUUUAUUACACGGUCACAGACAAGAAAACUCAUUAUUCCAGCGGUUUUUCC
ensembl:lncRNA